CCCUUAGAUGUUCUGGGCUGCACGCGCGCUACACUGAUGCGUUCAACGAGUGUAUAACCUUACCCGAUAGGGUUGGGUAAUCUUUUGAACACGCAUCGUGAUGGGGAUAGAUUAUUGCAAUUAUUAAUCUUCAACGAGGAAUUCCUAGUAAUGAUGAAUCAUCAGUUCAUCGUGAUUACGUCCCUGCCCUUUGUACACACCGCCCGUCGCUCCUACCGAUUUCGAGUGGUUCGGUGAACCUUUCGGACCGGCAAUGCCUCGUGUUGCGCCGGAAAGUCAAGUAAACCAUAUCACUUAGAGGAAGGAGAAGUCGUAACA
rnacentral:rRNA from 1 species